UGGGCUAUAGCCAAGCGGUAAGGCAGCGGUUUUUGGUACCGUUAUUCGUUGGUUCGAAUCCAGCUAGCCCAG
rnacentral:tRNA from 1 species